rnacentral:rRNA from 1 species
AGAGUUUGAUCCUGGCUCAGGAUGAACGCUAGCGGCGUGCCUAACGCAUGCAAGUCGAACGAGAAACCUUGGACUCGUCUGAGGUGGAAAGUGGCGCACGGGUGAGUAACACGUAGGUGACCUGCCCCAGAGAGGGGGAUAACUAUUGGAAACGGUAGCUAAUACCCCAUAAGCUCACGGUUUUUAGAAAGCUGUGAGAAAAGCUCCGGCGCUCUGGGAGGGGCCUGCGGCCCAUCAGCUAGUUGGUAGGGUAACGGCCUACCAAGGCAAUGACGGGUAGGGGACCUGAGAGGGUGACCCCCCACACUGGCACUGAGACACGGGCCAGACUCCUGCGGGAGGCAGCAGCGAGGAAUAUUGCCCAAUGGGCGAAAGCCUGAGGCAGCAACGCCGCGUGGGUGUCGAAGGCCUUCGGGUCGUAAAACCCUUUUCUGGGGGAAUAGGAAGGAAGGUACCCCAGGAAUAAGAGUCGGCUAACUACGUGCCAGCAGCCGCGGUAAAACGUAGGACUCGAGCGUUAUCCGGAUUUACUGGGCGUAAAGCGCGUGUAGGCGGCUUGGUUAGUUGGAUGUUAAAGCUCCUGGCUUAACUAGGAGAGGCCAUUCAAUACUGCCAGGCUAGAGGACGGUAGAGGAGAGUAGAAUUCCAGGUGUAGUGGUGAAAUGCGUAGAUAUCUGGAAGAAUACCAGUGGCGAAGGCGGCUCUCUGGGCCGUUCCUGACGCUAGACGCGAAAGCAUGGGUAGCGAACGGGAUUAGAAACCCCGGUAGUCCAUGCCGUAAACGAUGAAUACUGGGUGUUGGGGGUAUCAUUUCCCUCGGCGCCGAAGCUAACGCGUUAAGUAUUCCGCCUGGGGAUUACGAUCGCAAGGUUAAAACUCAAAGGAAUUGACGGGUCCCCGCACAAGCAGCGGAGCGUGUGGUUUAAUUCGAGGCUACACGAAGAACCUUACCUGGGCUUGACAUGACGGUAGUAGGGAUCCGAAAGGUGACCGACCCUUCGGGGAGCCGCCACAGGUGCUGCAUGGCUGUCGUCAGCUCGUGUCGUGAGAUGCUCGGUUAAGUCCGUUAACGAGCGCAACCCUCGCCGUUAGUUACAAGUGUCUAGCGGGACUGCCGUUAAAAAAGCGGAGGAAGGUGGGGAUGAUGUCAAGUCAGCAUGGCCUUUAUGUCCAGGGCUACACACACGCUACAAUGGCCGGUACAAUGGGUUGCCAAACCGCGAGGUGGAGCCAAUCCUCCAAAGCCGGUCUCAGUUCGGAUUGCAGGCUGCAACUCGCCUGCAUGAAGGUGGAGUUGCUAGUAACCGCAGGUCAGCUAUACUGCGGUGAAUACGUUCCCGGGGAUUGUACACACCGCCCGUCACGUCAUGGGAGCUGGUCACGCCUGAAGUCGAUGAGCUAACCUAACGGGGGCAAUCGCCUAAGGCGGGGCUGGUGACUGGGACGAAGUCGUAACAAGGUA